rnacentral:rRNA from 1 species
GAGUUUGAUCCUGGCUCAGAUUGAACGCUGGCGGCAUGCCUUACACAUGCAAGUCGAACGGCAGCACGGGAGCUUGCUCCUGGUGGCGAGUGGCGAACGGGUGAGUAAUGCAUCGGAACGUAUCCUGGAGUGGGGGAUAACGUAGCGAAAGUUACGCUAAUACCGCAUAUUCUGUGGGCAGGAAAGCGGGGGACCUUCGGGCCUCGCGCUCUUGGAGCGGCCGAUGUCGGAUUAGCUAGUUGGUGAGGUAAAGGCUCACCAAGGCGACGAUCCGUAGCAGGUCUGAGAGGAUGAUCUGCCACACUGGAACUGAGACACGGUCCAGACUCCUACGGGAGGCAGCAGUGGGAAUUUUGGACAAUGGGGGCAACCCUGAUCCAGCCAUGCGCGUGAGUGAAGAAGGCCUCGG